rnacentral:rRNA from 1 species
UCUUUUAGAAAAUUAUUUAAAGUCUAAUCUGCUCACUGAUAAUUUAAAGAGCCGCAGUAUCCUAACUGUGCAAAGGUAGCGUAAUCAUUAGUUUCUUAAUUGGGAACUUGUAUGAAAGAUUUAAUGAAAAAACUAUUUUCUUUAUUUAAGUAAAUUGAAAUUAAAAUUUAAGUGAAAAUUCUUAAAUACAUUAAAAAGACGAGAAGACCCUAUAGAUUUUUAUUAAUUUUUAUUAUUUUUAUAAAAUUUUUAUUUUAGGAUUAAUUUGAUUGGGGUGAUGUUGUAAUAUAAAAAACUUAAUUUUGGAAAACCAUUAAUAAAUGAAUAAUUUAGAUAUAAAAUUUUUAAAUACAGAUUAAAUUACCUUAGGGAUAACAGCGUAAUUUUAUUUACGAGUUCAUAUCUAUAAUAAAGUUUACGACCUCGAUGUUGAAUUAAGAUAAAAUAUUAGGGUAGAAAUUAAUAUUAUUAGUCUGUUCGACUAUUAAAUUCU